UAAAACGUAGGGGGCAAGCGUUGUCCGGAAUUAUUGGGCGUAAAGCGCGCGCAGGCGGUUUUUUAAGUCUGGUGUUUAAGUGCGGGGCUCAACCCCGUGUCGCAUUGGAAACUGGGAGACUUGAGUGCAGAAGAGGAGAGCGGAAUUCCACGUGUAGCGGUGAAAUGCGUAGAGAUGUGGAGGAACACCAGUGGCGAAGGCGGCUCUCUGGACUGUAACUGACGCUGAGGCGCGAAAGCGUGGGGAGCAAACAGGAUUAGAUACCCUGGUAGUCCACGCCGUAAACGAUGAGUGCUAGGUGUUGGGGGGGUCCACCCCUCGGUGCCGAAGUUAACACAUUAAGCACUCCGCCUGGGGAGUACGGUCGCAAGACUGAA
rnacentral:rRNA from 1 species